GAAGAGUUUGAUCAUGGCUCAGAUUGAACGCUGGCGGCAGGCCUAACACAUGCAAGUCGAACGGUAACAGGAAGCAGCUUGCUGCUUUGCUGACGAGUGGCGGACGGGUGAGUAAUGUCUGGGAAACUGCCUGAUGGAGGGGGAUAACUACUGGAAACGGUGGCUAAUACCGCAUAACGUCGCAAGACCAAAGAGGGGGACCUUCGGGCCUCUUGCCAUCAGAUGUGCCCAGAUGGGAUUAGCUUGUUGGUGAGGUAACGGCUCACCAAGGCGACGAUCCCUAGCUGGUCUGAGAGGAUGACCAGCCACACUGGAACUGAGACACGGUCCAGACUCCUACGGGAGGCAGCAGUGGGGAAUAUUGCACAAUGGGCGCAAGCCUGAUGCAGCCAUGCCGCGUGUAUGAAGAAGGCCUUCGGGUUGUAAAGUACUUUCAGCGGGGAGGAAGGUGUUGUGGUUAAUAACCGCAGCAAUUGACGUUACCCGCAGAAGAAGCACCGGCUAACUCCGUGCCAGCAGCCGCGGUAAUACGGAGGGUGCAAGCGUUAAUCGGAAUUACUGGGCGUAAAGCGCACGCAGGCGGUCUGUCAAGUCGGAUGUGAAAUCCCCGGGCUCAACCUGGGAACUGCAUUCGAAACUGGCAGGCUUGAGUCUUGUAGAGGGGGGUAGAAUUCCAGGUGUAGCGGUGAAAUGCGUAGAGAUCUGGAGGAAUACCGGUGGCGAAGGCGGCCCCCUGGACAAAGACUGACGCUCAGGUGCGAAAGCGUGGGGAGCAAACAGGAUUAGAUACCCUGGUAGUCCACGCCGUAAACGAUGUCUACUUGGAGGUUGUGCCCUUGAGGCGUGGCUUCCGGAGCUAACGCGUUAAGUAGACCGCCUGGGGAGUACGGCCGCAAGGUUAAAACUCAAAUGAAUUGACGGGGGCCCGCACAAGCGGUGGAGCAUGUGGUUUAAUUCGAUGCAACGCGAAGAACCUUACCUGGUCUUGACAUCCACAGAACUUUCCAGAGAUGGAUUGGUGCCUUCGGGAACUGUGAGACAGGUGCUGCAUGGCUGUCGUCAGCU
rnacentral:rRNA from 1 species